rnacentral:rRNA from 1 species
AUUGAACGCUGGCGGCAUGCCUUACACAUGCAAGUCGAACGGCAGCACGGGAGCAAUCCUGGUGGCGAGUGGCGAACGGGUGAGUAAUACAUCGGAACGUGCCCAAUAGUGGGGGAUAGCCCGGCGAAAGCCGGAUUAAUACCGCAUACGACCUGAGGGUGAAAGCGGGGGAUCGCAAGACCUCGCGCUAUUGGAGCGGCCGAUGUCAGAUUAGCUAGUUGGUGGGGUAAAGGCCUACCAAGGCUACGAUCUGUAGUUGGUCUGAGAGGACGACCAGCCACACUGGGACUGAGACACGGCCCAGACUCCUACGGGAGGCAGCAGUGGGGAAUUUUGGACAAUGGGCGCAAGCCUGAUCCAGCAAUGCCGCGUGCAGGAAGAAGGCCUUCGGGUUGUAAACUGCUUUUGUCAGGGAAGAAAUCUUCUGAGUUAAUACCUCGGGAGGAUGACGGUACCUGAAGAAUAAGCACCGGCUAACUACGUG